ACGGGACCUUUCGGGGUCUAGUGGCGGACGGGUGAGUAACGCGUGAGAACAUGCCCUUAGGUUCGGGACAACAGUUGGAAACGGCUGCUAAUACCGAAUGUGCCGAGAGGUGAAAGAUUAAUUGCCUAAGGAUUGGCUCGCGUCAGAUUAGCUAGUUGGUGGGGUAAGAGCUUACCAAGGCAACGAUCUGUAUUUGGUCUGAGAGGAUGACCAGACACACUGGGACUGAGACACGGCCCAGACUCCUACGGGAGGCAGCAGUGGGGAAUUUUCCGCAAUGGGCGAAAGCCUGACGGAGCAAUACCGCGUGAGGGAGGACGGCUUUUGGGUUGUAAACCUCUUUUAUCAGGGAAGAAACAAAUGACGGUACCUGAUGAAUCAGCAUCGGCUAACUCCGUGCCAGCAGCCGCGGUAAUACGGAGGAUGCAAGCGUUAUCCGGAAUUAUUGGGCGUAAAGCGUCCGUAGGUGGUUUUUCAAGUCUGCUGUCAAAGCGUGGAGCUCAACUCCAUAUCGGCAGUGGAAACUGGGAGACUAGAGUGCGAUAGGGGUAACGGGAAUUCCCAGUGUAGCGGUGAAAUGCGUAGAGAU
rnacentral:rRNA from 1 species